rnacentral:tRNA from 1 species
GCCUGGGUGGCUCAGUCGGUUGAGCGUCAGGCUUCAGCUCAGGUCAUGAUCUCACGGUUCGUGAGUUCAAUCCCUGCCUCAGGCU